rnacentral:lncRNA from 1 species
GAAACUGUGAUUACAUAGCAAAAAAUGAGAUGUUUCAAAAUAAUUUUAAAUCAAUAUUUCCCUGGCUCAACAACUGAGAAAUGGCAUCUAAUAUGCAUGCUGCUGAAGUGGGGCUGGCAGUCAAGGUAAACUCACCAGAACCCAGUCAAGGUGAUUUGAAAACUUCUCUCUUCAGACAAUCAAGUUUUCUUUUCUACCCAUUUACCAUUUUGACAGCAAAAUUAAGAAAUUCAGAUGACAACUUGUCUGAGGGAGAAAACCUAAAGAGAAUAACUCAAAACUGUCAGAUGGCUAUAAAGAAAGAGGCUUGCUUACCUGGCCACGACUAUAGAAAACACUGGGGGAAGACAGCUUGGAGGAGUGGGCAGGCAAAGAGGAACAAGGACCAACUUCUUGUUGAACUAUUAUUUGUAUUGUGUGGAAAAGAACCUGCUAAUACCUCCAGAACCCAGGAUGGAAACAUUGAAAACUGGGCUUGCCAGAGAUGCAGCGCGAGACGAAGAAUUUCAUCAGUCAGAAGGAAAUCAACGUGAGGUCAGCAGCCUGAGGAUCACCAGAAGGUAUUUCCAAAUUUUCCAAAGGGCCACCAAUGUCUAGAGAAGCUGCUUGAAACUAUAUCUUCAACAGUAAACUUGCUUUGGUAAACAUGAUUCAGACUGCAUUGAUAUUGAUAUGAUUAAAAUCCAAGAUUCAAAUAAAUAAGUAAAUAAAAUUAUAAAACA